UACGUAGGGUGCGAGCGUUAAUCGGAAUUACUGGGCGUAAAGCGUGCGUAGGCGGUUCGUUAAGUUCGUUGUGAAAGCCCCGGGCUCAACCUGGGAAUGGCAAUGGAAACUGGCGGGCUGGAGUAUGGCAGAGGGGGGUGGAAUUCCGCGUGUAGCAGUGAAAUGCGCAGAUAUCAGGAAGAACACCGAUGGCGAAGGCAGUUCUCUGGGACGGUACUGACGCUGAGACGCGAAAGCGUGGGGAGCGAACAGG
rnacentral:rRNA from 1 species